UACAGAGGUCUCAAGCGUUUGUUCGGAUUCAUUGGGCGUAAAGGGUGCGUAGGCGGCGCGGUAAGUCGGGUGUGAAAUCUUGGAGCUUAACUCCGAAACUGCAUUCGAUACUGCCGUGCUUGAGGACUGGAGAGGAGACUGGAAUUUACGGUGUAGCGGUGAAAUGCGUAGAUAAUCGUAAGGAAGACCAGUGGCGAAGGCGGGUCUCUGGACAGGUUCCUGACGCUGAGGCACGAAGGCCAGGGGAGCAAACGGG
rnacentral:rRNA from 1 species